AAUGCAAUAAAAUAUUAAACAUAGUUUCAUAGAUUAGAAAUCUAGAGAAACCUCUUUAUUCCGGUAUGAGCUCUGCAUAGAAAGCUUUUACCUACCUUAGUUACUUUUAUCUGAGGGAUUUCUAUAUAACAAGUGAGAGAAAAAUAAGACAGUAACAUAGUAAUAUACCUAUACAACUCGGCGAGAAAUAGCACUGAGGAAAUAUAGUACCACGAAUAGCAACAACAUUAUCGAAAACUGUCUCCACGAUUAUGGCAACAAAUUUGUCUCUAAUACCAUCGAACAAGCUGAUCUGAAUCUGCAGUUUCGUAUACCAACUUUUAGAUCACCUAGUGAAUGCAGAAAGUAGGUUAUUAUACACGGCGCAUAACCGUUAGUUAUAGUCUCUGUAAUUAGUGUAAGAUGAAAAUUUUAACGAUCGCCACACUGAUUUUGCUUAUAGUCCCAGUCAUCCAUAAUAAUACUGGAGUAUGAAAAGCAUUAAAUUAGAUAUUAUGAAUACGUUUUCGAAGAUCUCAGCUGCUUGUACGAAGUGGAGGUCGCUGUAAUAAAUCAGACUUUCGCAUUCAGAGAUUCAGAAAAGUAAGGGCUAAGAAUUGCGAAACAAUGGCCCUUUGGGUUAAGGAGAUCACCUCAAACAAAUUAAAUGACGAAAUAGACUAAAUCAGUAGGCCCCAGGGCAUUAACUAUUAGCUGGAAAUCUUUCUGUAAAGGUUAGGAUAAUAUCAAACAGAAAAUUUAGAGUUUUAGGUUUACGCAAACAUUCUUGCCAUCAUAGAAACUAGAUUUUCGAGUAAUUACAUCUUAGAACUUGUAAAAAAACAAGCAUAAUUAAACCAAAUACUUUCUGUUUUAUUUAUCACUGCUACUUAUUUUUAAUCAGUAACUCGAUAUAAAAGAAGAUGAAAAAGCGAAACUACCUGUACGCAUACACGGUCUCAUUGCCACAGUCGUAAUAGUGGUUCUCACGUAAUUUCAUGUAUUUAUUGAAGUGAUGUCACUUUGUGAUGACUCAGUUACCACAUAACAUAUUUUAGUUUAUUAUAUAUGAAAUAAUGUUUCAACACCCCAACUAUAGUGGUUUCUAUCACUGUGUCAUGAGCUAUGGAACGUAUUUUGUACUAUGUACCGGAAUUAUGACGCAACUUACAUGUUUGCCAUACAUUGUUAAAAGGAUACUUAUUGUAUAUAAUAAAUGGGAUUGAUUGAAACCCUUCAUUACAUUAAAGUUCUUGUUUCUUGACUUCCAGCCAUUGACACUGCUACUUCCACCCGAAUUUAGGCGAUAUCCUAUUGACAUUGCCUUGCUGUUCUAAUUCAGGAUUCAGGACUCUAGCACCUUUAGCAAUUUUCAUACUUUGUUCACGAAAAAUGUUUAGGCACUUAGCCGUUUUCGGCACAGACUUAAAUAUUGUAAAUAAAGUUACAUAUUGCAAAUCGUAUAGCGUAUAAGAGUUUGUACCUAAUUGUAAAUCUUUUUUAUCCCGCUUGCUUUCCCUUUAAGAAAGCCCACUAGAAUACGUUUUGAACGUCAUCUUUUAGUCAUUAGCGUUCUAUAUGGUAGUAUUAUAAGUUGCUUGUAUUUCUGCUUGUAUUUUGUAUCAGUGGCGCUCCUGUUGUCAAAAAAAAAUAUCCGUUAGACCGAGUUGACCGGGCUUUAUUACCAACUCUGCUGCUUGCAUGGUUCGGGCCAAAUGAUUCGCAGUUUAUUACCCGUUCAAGGUGUCACUAAAUAUCAGGAAAUGCGCUGACGAUAUUCGCGAGGUGCCGCUUCGUAAUUCAUAAUCAACACCACUACGUUAUAAUGAUGUUGGAAGCUCUAAUAAAGCCAUUGGUUCCAGCUCUUUCCUCUUCUGAGUCACCUUAACCACAUACGGAAGGUUGCAUACACCCAACUAAUUUUCCACGUAUCCAUUGCGACCAACUCUUUUAAUAUUUCGUUAUUCGCACACAUUCCGAGACGGCGACUCCCGGGCGGAAUUCACUUCAGAGGCAAAUCUUCAUAUGUAAGUAACCCUGGUAACCGCGCCCUAGUUCUAUACUUGUUUGUUCCUGGCUAAGUUUUAUAUGCUAUCGUUGCCAGUAAAAUUUAAUGAUUGUAAUUAAGUAUGAUCGUUUAUCGUUGAUAUAACUGCAGACUCUAUCGAACAAUGUUCCGGUACUUCGGUAAUUGCUACCAGAAAAAGCAUACAAUGGAGGUGUGCGAAAAACCACAAGACGAUCAUGCUGCUUUUUCCUUUGCCUGCUUGUGCUUGGUUAAUGAAACAGCGAUGGUCGAAUAGUUGUUCCAUACUGGCGGUACAGUGUGGUCGAGUGCAAACUUGUUCUUUUAAAAACAAAAUCUCUUCUUAAAUAAUCCAGCCAUGUAAAGCCCGAUCCUGACUGACUCAAUUACUGUAGUGGGUAUACCACAGUGGUGGUUGAUAACAGUAAUAACAAUAAUACCAACUCUAUUUGGAAAUUACUAUAGAAGUAUAAUAAAAUUACCAUAACAAAUGUUGUGUAAUCAUUUGAGACCUCUUCCGUCGCGAAAGUCAUAUAUAAAUACACUAAACUAUUAUUUUAAUUGCAUACACGCAAUUAUAUGCAAACUGAGCAAGCGACGCUAGUUAAUAGCUAUUAGAAGUUUUAGCCUAGUUUAAUGAUAUUACAUAUUUCUUUGGCUACGGAAAGCUUAAUAUCAAAUAUAAGGACACUUUCAACACAAUGUCUUUUACGUGGCCAUUAUUUAGGAUUCUUGGAGCAAUACCAUAGGCUACUAAAACAAUCAAAGAGACGUAUUGUUUUUUUGACAUUUGUAUGAGAUUGAUUGCGUUACGUUGUUUGUAAACACUUUGUAAACACGACACGUCCAACAUUAGGCAAUUCAGUAAGAAACAUGCUACUUUGUAGCUAGAGAUGCUACACAUUUUUUUUUUGCAAUUCGAAGUUAAUUGAUUCGCGCGCAGACUGCACCAAAUCUAGUGGGUUGAGUUAUGUAACCUCACGGAAACAUAAAUCCUCACCGCACGUCGUCAACUUAGCGCCCUCUAGUGAUCAGAAAUAGAAAAGUACGAGAGAUCAUAACAAAAACAAAACAGGCGAGCAGCAGCACUGACACUACCGCCGCUCCCACUACAACGACUACUAUCAGUCGUCAGCACUGGUGGUAGUGCUGCACUAGACAAACAACAGACGAAAGUAAACCUUAUUCGCCACCGUCACUACUUGUGCGGUAGAUAACCAUCGUUGUGGUAUUGGUAGACAUCAACUUGUCGCAUCCUAAACAGGAGGAGAAGUAGCAGUGACUGCAACGAACAUCAUUAAAGCCUUCCGUAGAGCAGUCGAACGUGUUAGCAGGUGGACAAAGCCGGCUUUUUACCAAGACGUCGUCAGCAGAGAAUGUUGCAGCAGUGAGUUGGUCAACUGAACCGAACACACAGAUCAGGUAGGACGAGCCAGUGGUUGACUGAUUGUAGCGCCUGGUGUCGGUGCAGUUGGGGGUCGCUGUGGCAGAAAGAACAAAAGACAAAGGCUCGGCCACCGCCGCCGCGAUCGUCGUCGCCAUCCUGCAAACUUCUCAUCAUAAUCACAGUACGAAUUCUACUGCUAACAAUACUGUCUCAGAGCUUAUUGGACGUAUUAGAGUUGAAUUGUGGCCAUGGUGUGGUGCUCAGACACCGGUAAUACGAGUCUGUGCUCUGCGCAGGGUGUCCUUUAAUGUGGCCUCAUUAUUUGUGACUAGUGUUGAAGUCAAUCGACGAGCCGUCUGCUCAUUUAGUAGUUACCGGUGCAACUGACGCUGUCAAUAACGGUAACCAUCCGGUGCAAUCUCAACUAUUUAUAUGGGCGUAAAUGUACGCAUAUUCAGGAACUGAAUCAAAAGGAAAGAAAAAUAUACAUUGCCACUAAGUGCAAGCGAAAACAAACUUUUCGUGGCUCUCGGUGGAGGUAAUAAUAAUCGUCAAAAUGUCGAGCAGCACCGCACAAGUAGCACAGCUUAGCCCCACGCAACAGGUGGCCCUGGGUCUUCUGAAAGGGGUGAAUAUGAUCUAUGAUGUGGUCACGUUACCACUUUACACCGCAAUACAGGCUCCCUGGAAGCAUUGGCAAGAUAGCCGACAGAUUUUUGCCCAGCCGACUAUACCAGAAAACCCUCAUUCACCGUGGGUACGCAAACAAGUUCAUUCUUUGGGCAAGCUUAAGGACAUUGAGACUGUCGACCAGCUCUUCAGAGUGGCCAUUCGUGAAUUUCCGGACCACCCGGCGAUGGGAACUCGCGAAAUUUUCGGGGAGGAAGAAGAGAAACAGAAGGACGGAAAGGUGUUUAAAAAGUUGAUUCUCGGCGAAUACAAAUGGAUUACAUAUAAGGAAAUGGACAAAAAAAUUGAGUUAAUAGGCCGAGGUCUAAUGUCGCUUGGAAUUCGCCCGCGACAGAACAUCGUAAUCCUUGCGGAGACGCGUCAGGAAUGGAUGCUAACUGCACAAGCCUGUCUUCGUCUUAAUAUUCCUGUGGUUACACUAUAUGCUACACUUGGAGAGGAAGGCAUCCUACAUGGAAUAAAUGAGACGGAAGCAACGUUCUUGGUUACGUCGCAGGAUCUUCUAGAGAAGAUUGGCAAACUAAUGCCGCGUAUGCCGCUCCUCGAGACCGUCAUCUACAUGGAGAAUCCGAUCGUAAAGGUGAAACCAAAUCCGAUGGAAAAGAUUAAAUUGUACCCGUUUUCCAAACUCGAGAUGCUUGGGCAGUCAGCCUCUGGAGAUCUGAAAGGCGAGGUCCCGACAGCAGAUGACAUCGGCAUUAUUAUGUACACAUCAGGCUCGACCGGAGUUCCCAAAGGAGUAAUGAUUACUCAAGGAAACAUCGUCGCAACAACAAAAGGCUUUUAUCCAGUUGUUUCUUUUGUGUGUCCAGAGGAUACCUACAUUGCUUACUUGCCCCUGGCCCAUGUGCUAGAGCUGGCGUGUGAAUCUCUUUCAUUCGCAUUAGGAGCCCGCAUCGGCUAUUCUUCGCCGUUAACCCUCACCGACAAAUCAACUGGAAUAAAAACUGGUGGCAAGGGCGACGCUACUUUGCUCAAGCCAACCAUUAUGGUCGCCGUGCCGCUUAUCCUCGACAGGGUUCGCAAAAGCAUUACAGAGGUUGCUGAAAGCAAAGGUAUCUUUGCUAAGAACUUCUUCCACCAUGUGAUUGGCUAUAAAACGCUGUGGCAGAAAUUCGGAUACGGAACUCCUAUUUUAGAUAAGCUGGUGUUUUCGAAAAUGAAAGCACUCCUUGGCGGAGCACUGAAGGUGAUUCCCUGUGGAUCUGCACCUCUUUCAUCAGACACUCAUGAAUUCAUCAAAGCAGCCCUCAGUUGCGAUAUCGUGCAAGGUUAUGGCCUGACCGAGACUGCGGCUGGAGCUACCAUAAUGGAACGAAAUGAUAAAAGCUAUGGUCGAGUCGGCGCUCCAAUAACCGGCAACUACAUCAAAUUAGUCGACUGGGCUGAGGCAGGUUACCAUGCCAUCGAUAAACCUAAUCCCCGAGGAGAGAUUGUGGUCGGCGGAAUAUCAGUCACUAAGGGGUAUUAUAAAAAUGAGGCGUUAACGCAGGAAUGUUUCCGUGAGGAAGGUGGAAUCAGGUGGUUUUACACCGGAGAUAUCGGAGAAAUGUUUCCAGAUGGAACAAUUAAAAUCAUAGAUCGCAAGAAGGAUCUUGUUAAGCUACAGUUUGGUGAAUAUAUCUCGCUUGGAAAGAUCGAGACGGAAUUAAAGACAUGUCCUUUGGUGGAAAAUAUCUGUGUAUACGCUAGUUCAUUUCACACGUUCUUGGUCGCCUUAAUAGCACCGAAUCAAAAGGCCAUUCAGGCUCUCGCCGUCACACUCAACAAAGAUACUUCGGAUUUCCGGCGACUCUAUCGAGACCCAGAUAUUGUGAGAGCUGUAAUUCAACAAUUAGCCGAACAUGGAAAAAAGGCCAACCUUAGCAAAACAGAGAUUCCCACCAAGAUUAAACUGUGCACAGAAGAGUGGCUGCCCGACACAGGACUGGUGACCGCGGCGUUUAAGAUCCGUCGCAAGCAACUCCAGCAGUUCUAUCAGGCAGACAUUGACGACAUGUACUCCCCCACUGGCAACGCCAAGAACACUUGGGGACUCAAGUUCUCGUACCCAUCAUAGAUCCAGAGUCAGUUCAGUCAAGCUUCCGUCCUCACUUCUUUUCCCCUGGACGUGAAUCAGACAACCACAUUCAAUGUCGAAGGAAAAAGCGACCAACCAACAAAACAGCUCUGCAUACAGCACGAUGUGUGUUUCUGUAUGAAGAAUGCGUGGUAGCGAUGACGUUGCCGUUGACAUUUCGGUGGACAUUAUACAUGAUCAAGAUAAAUAAGAUAGCAUUAUCUGAACGAUUUUUCACCAGUAAACUUUAAAAAGAAAAGGAAUGAGAGAAGAAGGCGAUAGGCGCAUACAGUAACAGACCAUGCUGCAACCAUGAAGACUAUUUGUAUGGAUUUAAGUGGGUGUCUGUGUGUGCAUGUCCUGAUUCGUGGCGGAUCGUCGAGUGUUCUUAUUGGAUCUACUUGCGUGUUAUUUAGUAUAUUGAUUGUAGAGCGGGUAAGCACAAAUAAAGACAGAUGAUUACAUGUUAAGUGCAUACAGUUUCCGCGGAAAUUGUCGUCGAAAACAUUUCUUAGUCAGGUACACUAACACCACACGUGGUGCGAUCUAUAUAUCAAUAUGCGAAUUAGCUAAACACUGGAAUACUGUAUAUUUCUCUUAUGUUCCCUUCAUAUAUUUGGCUAUUGUCGUUCUUACGGAAAAUAGAAACGUGUAUGAAAAUGUACACAGAGUAGGUACUUCUGUGCAGGGAUUGAUGAUGAACGAAUCUUCGAGACAACGAGAUAUAUUGAAAUUAAUAUGAUCAGAUGAGCGUUAUUAUUGUCGUCUUAUAUCAGAAAGCGGAAAGGCGGGGGAUUGGAAAAGAGUAAGAGUGCAGAAAGUUUUAUAUUUGAUUAUAUAAUGAUGGCAAUUAUUCUAUAUCGAUCUAUUUUUUGUUUGUUUUCUUGUAAGUAUUUUUUGUUGCUUCUCUCCCCUUCCGCUGUUAGCAAAACAAGAUAGUAACACUUAACUCAACUUCGUAACAAAUACAGGAAAGAUAGGUCUUGUAAAAUCGGAGUAUUACGUCUGGUUAAUUAAGGUAGGAAGUGCUAAGCUGAUGGAUAACAGGAAAAGCGUGAGUGCUGUGCAAGUUUCGUAUUCGUCGAUAACUAUCAACUAACUUUGAUCGGUUCGACUAAGUAGUAGCCAAUACAUCUAAAUGAAAAAAAUUACGAGGAUCAGUAGAUAAAUAGAUUGCAUCAAUUGUUGGAAUCUAUAGAUAUAUAUAUAUAUAUAUAUUCUUACACCUUAUCCUCAAGACCUGUGCAGAUGCAUAUAUAUAUAUAUUGCAUGUGCGCGUUCGUACAUUAUCUUAUUAUUACUAUUAUAUAGUACACAGAACAUAUAUGAAGUAUUACAGGAGUUGUUGACUAACGAGUGACAUAUUUUUAGGCACUUAAUAGUAACCAAUAUUAAUUAAGUUGAUCUUGUAAGUGUAAGUAAGGUUUGCGACUCUUGCAUGUUAAUUUAUGGGUUAGUUGAUGCAGCCUUCAUAUUAACAGUUUUAUACGUGAGAAUGGGAUCGAUUAUUCAGUAAGUGGAAUAUAACAGCAAUGCACGAUAAUUACUAUGCACGCUAAUAAUGGAGGUAAAACUUGGCUGGUUACUACAUUAUUUCCCAUCCUAUUUAAAAUCGAAGGGAAAAUAAAACAAUAAGAACAACGAUAUUGACAAUAAAUGAAAACAAUUUCCUGUCUAUAAUAAUUUAAUGAAUUCAGUCAUGGAAGAGAGGGAAUUCCAGUAAAAUGAGACAUAAAACCAAAAAGAAUAUAAUAGGCUAUCAUCAUCUGUGAAAGCAUAGUGGAUAGCACUAAUUUUCUUUGGUAGGUAAUCGUUAAUGGUUUCAAUAUAAUCAACAGAAGUACUUAUGGGUAACGAUAGCUUUCAUAAUAUAAAGUGUUAAUUCAUCUUUUUAUGAUUUUUUACGUGGCAUAUACGUUUGCUUUUUUUUCUGAUACUACAAUAAUUGUAUCAUCUAAAGGCAGAACGGGGCCAAUAGACGUUAGUUUAGUGAUUCUAGUAGUACAGUAACAAGUAGGCAAUAUUUUAGUACUUGUUGCAGAUGUUUUAUUUUCUUGGUCAAAGGCUUAUUUUUUCCUCGUUUGAUCUGUGUGCACCGAAAUUGUAGGAAAGCCUAGUUUACGGUGAUGCUUGAUUCAGCAGAAAUGUCGAACUAAAUGCAUAAUGGAAAAAGACAAACCAUGUUGCAACUGUAUAAUGGGUAUAACGUAAUAAAAAGCAGGCGUCAGAUAGACCCAGAAACCAACAUGGUGACCCAAGUCAUUGCAUGAACUGGUAAUAGCCAGCCUGGUGCUAAUUUGUGUAUGUGAAUGAAAAGAGUAUUACUGAAUAUUGCGAAAUAUUCCAGCCUUAAAUUUAUCCUGUUGGCCAUCAGUCGUGAUAGUUGGAUAGGUGGUACGGAUAUUCAGUAUAACAUAAAUUCGUUGCGAUGUGCGGUGAAACAAUUUUAUCCAUUCAAGCACCCCUCAAAAGCCCUCUCUCCCAUUUGUUAAAUACACAAGUGUGGCAAACCCUUUUUCCCAGUUUGUAAAACCUGUCAACAUGUAUGAACGACUGCAGAAGCUUGAAUCGACUGUUAAAUUUUUGACAUUGAUUAUUUUUACCUUAUUUAUUCUUAUCAUCUUGAAUUGAGGCUGUUUUUGUUAUUUAAUUCAUAGUUGGAUGCAUCUAUGUGAUUUGACUCUGAACUCACAAUAAUCCACAUAAGAGAUUAAAAAGGUUAUAUAGAGAUGACUUUCACUUAUAUUGAUAGCUCAUAGAGCAAUUAUCGCGCUAAAAUCGACCCUUUCGAUGCACUCAAUAACAUAUGUGCCUUUGUCAAAUUUAUUUCUCAAUACGAUGUUUAUCAAAAACAAAAAAAGCAACUCGAAAUCAACGUCGAAUUCAGACAAUUCGAGGAGUAAUUCCAGUAUUUAUAUAACUCGUAUAGGCGAAAAAGGCUACGGUCUGUACCAUACUCGAAUUCAAUCAACCUAUAUUUAUAUAAGGUCUACCCGUUUGCAGGAAGACAGUACAAUUAUUUUUAUUUAUUUAUAUAUUACACUAUGGGAUCCAUAUUAUAUCCAAUCUAUAUAUAUCUACGCUAUGGGAUAGGAGAAAUUGCAAGUUUUACCACCUUAGCUUUUCGUUUUUUACGUUUCAUGACUGUACCGCUAACCAUCGCUUCAAAGGCUUGGCUCCCAACGCAAAACAAAGUGUGCAAAGCGUCUGGAUCACCAACAUAAGUUUAGCUGACAAACACGUUACCCACAGCGCUAUCACCGAAACAAGUUUAAAAUCAAACGGAGAAGUCCUUUUGUUAUGACUAGAGCUGAUACAGAUAAAUAUACCUGCUGUUGUCAAUGAUUGCCACUUUUAUAGAUGAUAAACUGAGGUGUCAGUAGCAUUAUACCACACUACAAACAGUAGCAGCAAGGGGAUCGGUAGCAAUAGUUGGCAACUAUCGUUAUGAUGAUACUGAGAAAAAUGAAAAUAAUAUAAAUUAUUGUGUACAAUAAUAGUUAUCUUCAUAAUAGUUAAACAGGAACGGAGA